rnacentral:rRNA from 1 species
ACCUGGUUGAUCCUGCCAGUUGUCAUAUGCUUGUCUCAAUGAUUAAGCCAUGCAUGUGUAAGUAUGAACAAAUUCAGACUGUGAAACUGCGAAUGGCUCAUUCAAAUUUCUGCCCUAUCAACUUUCGAUGGUACGAUAGUUGCCUACCAUGGUGGUGACGGGUGACAGAGAAUUAGGGUUCGAUUCCGGAGAGGAAGCCUGAGAAACGGCUACCACAUCCAAGAAAGGCAGCAGGCGCACAAAUUACCCAAUCCUGACACGGGGAGGUAGUGACAAUAAAUAACAAUACCGGGCUCAAUGAGUCUGGUAAUUGGAGAGUCUGGUAAUUGGAAUGAGUACAAUCUAAAUCCCUUAACGAGGAUCAAUUGGAGGGCAAGUCUGGUACCAGCAGCCACGGUAAUUCCAGCUCCAAUAGCGUAUAUUUAAGUUGUUACAGUUAAAAAGCUCGUAAUUGGACUUUGGGAUAGGCCGGCCGGUCCCCCUAUGGUGUGCACCGGUCGUCUCGUCCCUUCUGUCGGCGAUGUGCUCCUGGCCUUAACUGGCCUGGUCGUGCCUCCGACACUUUUGCUUUGAAGAAAUUAGAGUGCUCAAAGCAAGCCUACGCUCUGUAUACAUUAGCAUGGGAUAACAUUAUAGGAUUUCGGUGCUAUUACGUUGGCCUUCUGGAUCGGAGUAAUGAUUAACAGGGACAGUCGGUGGCAUUCGUAUUUCAUAGUCAGAGGUGAAAUUCUCGGAUUUGUGAAAGACGAACAACUGCGAAAGCAUUUGCCAAGGAUGUUUUCAUUAAUCAAGAAUGAAAGUUGGGGGCUCGAAGACGAUCAGAUACCCUCCUAGUCUCAACCAUAAACGAUGCCGACCAGGGAUCGACGGAUGUUGCUUUUAGGACUCUGCCGGCACUUUAUGAGAAAUCAAAGUUUUUGGGUUCCGGGGGGAGUAUGGUCGCAAGGCUGAAACUUAAAGGAAUUGAUGGAAGGGCACCACCAAGAGUGAAGCCUGCGGCUUAAUUUGACUCAACACAGGGAAACUUACCAGGUCCAGACAUAGUAAGGAUUGACAGAAUGAGAGCUCUUUCUUAAUUCUAUGGGUGGUGGUGCCUGGCCGUUCUUAGUUGGUGGAGCGAUUUGUCUGGUUAAUUCCGUUAACGAAUGACACCUCAGCCUGCUAACAAGCUCUGCGGAGGUAUCCUUUCGCGGCCAGCUUCUUAGAGGGACUACGGCCUUUUAGGCCGCGGAAGUUUGAGGCAAUAACAGGUCUGUGAUGCCCUUAGAUGUUCUGGGCCACAUGCGCGCUACACUGAUGUAUUCAACGAGUUUAUAGCCUUGGCCGAUAGGCCCGGUAAUCAUUGAAAUUUCAUCAUGAUGGGGAUAGAUCAUUGAAAUUGUUGGUCUUCAACGAGGAAUUCCUAGUAAGCGCGAGUCAUCAGCUCGCGUUGACUACGUCCCUGCCCUUUGUAUACACCACCCGUCGCUCCUACCGAUUGAAUGAUCUGGUGAAAUGUUUGGAUCACGGCGACGUGGGCGGUUCGCUGCCCACGACGUCGCGAGAAGUCCAUUGAACCUUAUCAUUUAGAGGAAGGAGAAGUCGUAACAAGGUUUCCGUAGGUGCACCUGCGGNNN